rnacentral:rRNA from 1 species
GGGUUGUGAGGUUAAGCGACUAAGCGUACACGGUGGAUGCCCUGGCAGUCAGAGGCGAUGAAGGACGUGCUAAUCUGCGAUAAGCGUCGGUAAGGUGAUAUGAACCGUUAUAACCGGCGAUUUCCGAAUGGGGAAACCCAGUGUGUUUCGACACACUAUCAUUAACUGAAUCCAUAGGUUAAUGAGGCGAACCGGGGGAACUGAAACAUCUAAGUACCCCGAGGAAAAGAAAUCAACCGAGAUUCCCCCAGUAGCGGCGAGCGAACGGGGAGGAGCCCAGAGCCUGAAUCAGUGUGUGUGUUAGUGGAAGCGUCUGGAAAGGCGYGCGAUACAGGGUGACAGCCCCGUACACAAAAAUGCACAUAYUGUGAGCUCGAUGAGUAGGGCGGGACACGUGGUAUCCUGUCUGAAUAUGGGGGGACCAUCCUCCAAGGCUAAAUACUCCUGACUGACCGAUAGUGAACCAGUACCGUGAGGGAAAGGCGAAAAGAACCCCGGCGAGGGGAGUGAAAAAGAACCUGAAACCGUGUACGUACAAGCAGUGGGAGCCUCUUWAUGGGGUGACUGCGUACCUUUUGUAUAAUGGGUCAGCGACUUAUAUUCUGUAGCAAGGUUAACCGAAUAGGGGAGCCGAAGGGAAACCGAGUCUUAACUGGGCGUUAAGUUGCAGGGUAUAGACCCGAAACCCGGUGAUCUAGCCAUGGGCAGGUUGAAGGUUGGGUAACACUAACUGGAGGACCGAACCGACUAAUGUUGAAAAAUUAGCGGAUGACUUGUGGCUGGGGGUGAAAGGCCAAUCAAACCGGGAGAUAGCUGGUUCUCCCCGAAAGCUAUUUAGGUAGCGCCUCGUGAAUUCAUCUCCGGGGGUAGAGCACUGUUUCGGCAAGGGGGUCAUCCCGACUUACCAACCCGAUGCAAACUGCGAAUACCGGAGAAUGUUAUCACGGGAGACACACGGCGGGUGCUAACGUCCGUCGUGAAGAGGGAAACAACCCAGACCGCCAGCUAAGGUCCCAAAGUCAUGGUUAAGUGGGAAACGAUGUGGGAAGGCCCAGACAGCCAGGAUGUUGGCUUAGAAGCAGCCAUCAUUUAAAGAAAGCGUAAUAGCUCACUGGUCGAGUCGGCCUGCGCGGAAGAUGUAACGGGGCUAAACCAUGCACCGAAGCUGCGGCAGCGACGCUUAUGCGUUGUUGGGUAGGGGAGCGUUCUGUAAGCCUGYGAAGGUGURCUGUGAGGYAUGCUGGAGGUAUCAGAAGUGCGAAUGCUGACAUAAGUAACGAUAAAGCGGGUGAAAAGCCCGCUCGCCGGAAGACCAAGGGUUCCUGUCCAACGUUAAUCGGGGCAGGGUGAGUCGACCCCUAAGGCGAGGCCGAAAGGCGUAGUCGAUGGGAAACAGGUUAAUAUUCCUGUACUUGGUGUUACUGCGAAGGGGGGACGGAGAAGGCUAUGUUGGCCGGGCGACGGUUGUCCCGGUUUAAGCGUGUAGGCUGGUUUUCCAGGCAAAUCCGGAAAAUCAAGGCUGAGGCGUGAUGACGAGGCACUACGGUGCUGAAGCAACAAAUGCCCUGCUUCCAGGAAAAGCCUCUAAGCAUCAGGUAACAUCAAAUCGUACCCCAAACCGACACAGGUGGUCAGGUAGAGAAUACCAAGGCGCUUGAGAGAACUCGGGUGAAGGAACUAGGCAAAAUGGUGCCGUAACUUCGGGAGAAGGCACGCUGAUAUGUAGGUGAAGCGACUUGCUCGUGGAGCUGAAAUCAGUCGAAGAUACCAGCUGGCUGCAACUGUUUAUUAAAAACACAGCACUGUGCAAACACGAAAGUGGACGUAUACGGUGUGACGCCUGCCCGGUGCCGGAAGGUUAAUUGAUGGGGUUAGCGGUAACGCGAAGCUCUUGAUCGAAGCCCCGGUAAACGGCGGCCGUAACUAUAACGGUCCUAAGGUAGCGAAAUUCCUUGUCGGGUAAGUUCCGACCUGCACGAAUGGCGUAAUGAUGGCCAGGCUGUCUCCACCCGAGACUCAGUGAAAUUGAACUCGCUGUGAAGAUGCAGUGUACCCGCGGCAAGACGGAAAGACCCCGUGAACCUUUACUAUAGCUUGACACUGAACAUUGAGCCUUGAUGUGUAGGAUAGGUGGGAGGCUUUGAAGUGUGGACGCCAGUCUGCAUGGAGCCGACCUUGAAAUACCACCCUUUAAUGUUUGAUGUUCUAACGUUGGCCCCUGAUCGGGGUUGCGGACAGUGUCUGGUGGGUAGUUUGACUGGGGCGGUCUCCUCCUAAAGAGUAACGGAGGAGCACGAAGGUUGGCUAAUCCUGGUCGGACAUCAGGAGGUUAGUGCAAUGGCAUAAGCCAGCUUGACUGCGAGCGUGACGGCGCGAGCAGGUGCGAAAGCAGGUCAUAGUGAUCCGGUGGUUCUGAAUGGAAGGGCCAUCGCUCAACGGAUAAAAGGUACUCCGGGGAUAACAGGCUGAUACCGCCCAAGAGUUCAUAUCGACGGCGGUGUUUGGCACCUCGAUGUCGGCUCAUCACAUCCUGGGGCUGAAGUAGGUCCCAAGGGUAUGGCUGUUCGCCAUUUAAAGUGGUACGCGAGCUGGGUUUAGAACGUCGUGAGACAGUUCGGUCCCUAUCUGCCGUGGGCGCUGGAGAACUGAGGGGGGCUGCUCCUAGUACGAGAGGACCGGAGUGGACGCAUCACUGGUGUUCGGGUUGUCAUGCCAAUGGCACUGCCCGGUAGCUAAAUGCGGAAGAGAUAAGUGCUGAAAGCAUCUAAGCACGAAACUUGCCCCGAGAUGAGUUCUCCCUGAGACUUUAAGUCUCCUGAAGGAACGUUGAAGACGACGACGUUGAUAGGCCGGGUGUGUAAGCGCAGCGAUGCGUUGAGCUAACCGGUACUAAUGAACCGUGAGGCUUAACCUUACAACGCCGAAGRUGUU